UAUAAAUGUUCUUGGCUUUCAGACAUGUUUUUUUUCUUGGCUUUCACAGCUGUAUUGCCUUUUCUUGACUUUCACACCUAUUUUACUUUAUUCUUUAAAGGAGGUGCCAAAAAGAGAAACUCACCAGUCCGUGUAAAAGACCGAAGCACCAGCUGGAUGCAGCACGACUUUUGACAAGAAAAAGACGGACACACCUGGCCUAGACGGCACGACCUUGGACAUGAUUGCAUGUGGGGAGCCCAAGUAUUAUGCAAAAGAAGAGCUUUCAGCCACUUUGAAAGUUCUUAUCGAUAAAAAGAAAGAUGCUUUAAAACCAGAAGUUAAAGAUUUAAUUUGUGACAUUGAAAGGCUUACUGAGAGAAUGCCUGCCUUAGUGAUGAACUGAGACUCAGCAACUAGAACAAGGAAAACCAGAUCCCUGCCAGCGUGACACGUAAUACAACCUAUAGAAGGUCUUCUCCUUAUUUUAUAUCUGCUAGAAAAAGAUUAAUUAUGACCACAAUUGGUCGCUCAGUCGUCUGGGCUUAUGUGUUUAGCUCUGUUGAACAUUUAGGAGAAAAAUGUGCUGAAUGUCAAGAGAACAAAUGGAUACCAGAUGGACACAUUUGUAGUAUUUGGUUCUCUAAACCAUUUAUUGAAUAUAAACAGUUUAUUGAUGCUCCAAAGGGCUUGAUGAGAUAGACUUGUGUCCUGUGUGCUGCUUUGUUAAAAAUGUAUAAUCUCCAUUGUUUUCGUAAAGCUAUCAAGAAUGAUGUGGAUGAUAUUAUAGCUGAAUAUGAGCAGAGAGAGACACUCAGUGAUGGAUACGCACAACUGAUUCAGCCUGUGAAGACCAGCGUUAUGUGGU